rnacentral:tRNA from 1 species
ACUUGGUGAAUGCAAAUGGUAAGCACAACAGACUGAACAUCUGUCGGUGCGGGUUCGAGUCUCGCCUAAAGUU